rnacentral:rRNA from 1 species
GCGGCCUAUCAGCUUGUUGGUGAGGUAAUGGCUCACCAAGGCAACGACGGGUAGCCGGCCUGAGAGGGCGACCGGCCACACUGGGACUGAGACACGGCCCAGACUCCUACGGGAGGCAGCAGUGGGGAAUAUUGGGCAAUGGACGCAAGUCUGACCCAGCGACGCCGCGUGCGGGAUGAAGGCCUUCGGGUUGUAAACCGCUUUCAGCAGGGAAGAAGCGAAAGUGACGGUACCUGCGAAAGAAGCACCGGCUAACUAUGUGCCAGCAGCCGCGGUAAUACAUAGGGUGCAAGCGUUGUCCGGAAUUAUUGGGCGUAAAGAGUUCGUAGGUGGUUCGUUACGUCGGAUGUGAAAAUCUGGGGCUCAACCCCAGACCUGCAUUCGAUACGGGCGAGCUAGAGUUUGGUAGGGGAGACUGGAAUUCCU